rnacentral:rRNA from 1 species
AUACGGAGGAUCCGAGCGUUAUCCGGAUUUAUUGGGUUUAAAGGGUGCGCAGGCGGCCAUUUAAGUCAGCGGUUAAAUCGUGGGGCUCAACCCCAUACUGCCGUUGAUACUGGGUGGCUUGAUUGCGGUCGAGGUUGGCGGAAUUCGUUGUGUAGCGGUGAAAUGCAUAGAUAUGACGAAGAACACCGAUUGCGUAGGCAUCUGCCCAGACCGGGAAAGUCGCUCAUGCACGACAGUGCGGAGAUCGAGCAGGAUUAGAUGCCCUGCUAGUCCGCAGAGUAAACGAUGAAUACUUGUUUUCGGCGAUAUCAUGUCCGAGGUAAAGCGAAAGCAAUAAGUAUCCCACCUGGGGAGUACGCCGGCAACGGUGAAACUCAAAUGAAUUGACGGGG